UUCUCCAGUGGACAUUUGUGG
rnacentral:miRNA from 1 species